GGUCGUAUACGAGUAGUGUAGCUGGUUAGCACGUUGGAUUUUGAUUCCCGAGACCUGAGUUCGAUUCUCGGUAUGGCCU